rnacentral:rRNA from 1 species
AUUGAACGCAGGCGGCAUGCCCAACACAUGCAAGUCGAACGAGUGGCGGACGGGUGAGUAAUGUCUGGGAAACUGCCCGAUGGACGGGGAUAACUACUGGAAACGGUAGCUAAUACCGCAUACCAUCGGAUGUGCCCAGAUGGGAUUAGCUAGUAGGUGGGGUAACGGCUCACCUAGGCGACGAUCCCUAGCUGGUCUGAGAGGAUGACCAGCCACACUGGAACUGAGACACGGGCCAGAGGCCUACGUGAGGCAGCAGUGGGGAAGAUUGCGCAGUGGGCGCAAGACUGAUGCAGCCAUGCCGGGUGAAGGAAGAGGGCCUUGGGGUUGUAGAGUACUUUCAGCGAGGAGGCGUUACUCGCAGAAGAAGCACCGGCUAACGCCGUGCCAGCAGCCGCGGUAAUUC